rnacentral:lncRNA from 1 species
GACCCUGAGGACAAGGUACAGGCCCCCUGGCUGGGUGAUCUUCCAACCAAUGUGUCAGGAAAGCAGAUAUUGUUCUUGAGCCUCUCGGUUUAAUUUUCUAAAUCUUCACUUCUUCUCAGGGUAGAAACUGGCUGGAGGACCGUCAGCCACAUCUGGAGGUCUGGAGGCCCUGCACACCUCCUCCAUGCAGCCCCUCACUCACCCUAGGAAAUGCUCCGGACACCUCGGAAGGGAAGGAGAAGUCACUUCAGAAUUCAAACACCCUCGGAGUUUCUUCCCACUCGAUGGUCUUCCUCUCCCUUCUCUCCAAAAGUGAGUAACAGCUGUAACAGAGGGAUCUGACUUAUCCUAGGGCACCGGGGCAGGAGCCUCUGGGGGCCUCCGGGACUUCACCUCUUUUCUGACUGUUUGCUGCUGGAGGCUCACAACU